rnacentral:lncRNA from 1 species
CUAAAGAAGGAGCCAUUUUCAUUGUUACUGUACCAGCUGUUAAAAUUAGGUCCGCCUGUCUAGGGCUCGAUCUUGGUACCAGCCCAUAACGGUCAAAAUCGAACCGCGAGCCGAUUAAUGAAGCAAAUUCAAUGAAACAACAACUGGUACCAUAAAGAAGCGGCCAUAAGCUGGAGAGUCUUGACCAAUUUGAAAGAUCGUUUGAUGUAGUUGAAAUAAAUGAAUUUGGGGUUGUUCGAUCAAGUAAGGAAAAUUCAAUAGAAUUCAUAAUUCUCUCAAUGUUAUUUUUUGUUUUUUUUUUUUUUUUUUUACUUUUUUGUUAUUGUCUGAAUAUUCAGAAACUAAGACCACUCUAAUGCUCCUUUUCGCCACGCAUAAACUAAACCAACAAUUAGGAUAAGCAUGAAAAUGAAAGCUUCUAUAAAUACGGGUACCCCCAAUACAUCAAAAACUCAUUGCCCAUGGAUAAAGAAAAACGGUUUCAACAUCAAAAACAACAAAAACUAGAGCAAACAUAUAAUACCGGAUUCGAAAUUGUAACCAAGCAUCGCCCAUUGGUUCGAUACCCGAUUCAUAACUAGAAAGUUUCUCUGGCCCUUUGUUAAUCGGGCUAAAAACUGCGGAAAUUAGAAAUGCCAAAAUAGGAAUAACGCUUGAUAUUAUUAGAAAUGCCCAGAAAAUAUCAUAUUUGUAAAGCAGAAACAUAGCCAAACUCCUAUGAAUGUGGAAAAUAGACCAAAUUUGUCGAUGCAAAUUGGAAUUCAUUGUCAAGUCAUCGAUAAUUGGUUAAUCAAAACAACAAUUCAUUUUGAUCGAACCGCAAAGUUUCGUUUGUUUGUUGUGAUGUCUCGUUUUAAGAUUUAUCGAUUGGAAUCCUAUUUUCAUUACACUUCCUUCGAUUUUAUUUCAAUAUAGUAUAAAUCUCUUAUACAAACAAAACAAACAAAACCCUUUUGCGUUCACCGCGCUUCGGACUUGUCUAAAUCAAAGGAAGUCAAAAGAAAAUUCGAAUUUUUUGUUUCGAAUUUCGAAUUCGAAUCUUCGAAAUUCAAUCGAUUUUGAUUCUAUUCUCAAUAUAUAGAAUAUUUUCUGUUUCUGAAUUAUGUUUAUGAAAAGCUAUUCGUUUUUCAAACGCUGAGGUGUCAACAAAUACCGUAAUCCGUUCCUAUAUCCAUGCGACUUACUAUUCCAUUUGAGUUGGGUUACGUCGGCGUCUCCCCGGAUUCGUGUCAUGAUUUUGACUCCGCAAAUUCACCAAAAGUAGGUGAGUAUACCAAAGAAAGGAAGUAUCAAUAACUCUUUGAUUGUGAUGGGAACAGGAAAAGAGGCAAAUCCAUAUGAAUUCCCAUACGAAGAUUAUUAUUAUUAAUUAUUGAAGAAAGAAAAAUGGGUUUGUUUAGCCGAAUCCGAGAUUCUAAAAAAAAAAUAGCGAUUAAAUCCAUUGAAAUGCGCUUUAGUUUUCAUUUCAGUUUGAUGUUCUGCUCGGAACGAGCUCCCUCCGAGCGAGCUUUUGGGAAUGAUUUGAUUUCGAUGAACCACAAGCAACCCCCAGCGACCAGUUACAAACAACAAAAAUACAAUGAAUGAGGAAAUGAAAACUAUACAAUUUUUGUGUUUCUGUAUUUCCAUUUUGAUUAUUAUUAUUUGAGAUUAGUAUAGGGCUAUACGGACUCGAACCGUAGACCUUCUCGGUAAAACAGAUCGAACUAAUUCUUAUCAAAAUGAUUCGAACUCUUUCAAAGACCCAACAUGCAUUUUUUUUUUUUUGCAUUGGGCUCUUUCAUUAACUGAUAGAAAUAUCAGUUAGUCUACCAUAUUUUUUUCUUGACAGACAACUAAGGAAAUGGCUCCAUGUGCUCUAAUUCAUUAUUUGGAUUCGGAUAUAGGAGCACUCCCAAAGUGUUUCAAAGAAGGGUUAUCUUGACGUAGGUCUGCUUAUGGCCUAGAUCAACCUAAACGAAAUGGAGUCUCUAUCAUCCUGAUUAAAGAAUCACAUAUGAAACUUCAUACGCCUUAAGGUUCAUAGAACGAAAAGAGAAUUUUUGAGGUCCUUAUACUCAUUAUGCCUAGCAUUGAAUAGACUAGGUAUUUACCUUAUCAAUCUCUCAAAUCGAUGAUGGAUUCUAUUUGGUUCCUAAAAGGGCACCCGAAUCGGACCGAUCCAUUUGUCAGGCUAUUGUUCUCUUGUUUUGUUCCCUACAAGCCACGGAGUCAGACAUUAAUUUCUCAAAAAGAUCAAUUCUUUUGAUUGCAUGAUGGACUCCUCUGAAAAACAUUGGCGCACGUGUAAACGAGGUGCUCUACCUAACUGAGCUAUAGCCCUUGUCCUUGUGAUACAUAUUUUAUCAUAUUAUGUAGAUAAUUUCUUGUCAAGAUGAAUAUUCCAUGAUCCCACACCAUAUCUCUUUGAUCUUUUGGAUUGGUAUUGCUUAGAAGUCCUAUUAGAUUUAUACUCCAUCGAUGGGAUGUGAUGGGUCUCUUUUUGUUUUUUGUUAUAAUGAUAAAUGACCUACUUAACUCAGUGGUUAGAGUAUUGCUUUCAUACGGCGGGAGUCAUUGGUUCAAAUCCAAUAGUAGGUAGAAAUUAUUAGAUACCACGGCCAAUGGUAUCUAAUAAGUUUUUCUACUCACCUUUGUUUAUUGAUUUUGUAUCUUUUCUAUCCGAUUCAAUUUGAUUUUCGAAUUGAAACCUUUUUCCUUCCGUCAGAAUCCAAUUCCACUUGAUUGAAUUUAAUUGGAUUCAAUUGGCAGAAUCAAAAUAGGGGUAUAAACAGAAAUUCGUUGGAUUAUUCUAUUCGGGCGCACCAACUAGUUAUGAAAUCGCAUUGAUAACCUCUACUCGUGUCCUAGCUCGUCUGAGAGCUAGAUUUGCCUCAAUUGUUUGUCUCUUGCUUUCAGCUUUCCUCAAAUUAGCUUCUGCUAUUUCAAGAGUUUGCUGGGCUUCUUGGGGAUCAAUGUCACUACUCUUCUCCGCAUCAUUUACUAAAAUAGUGAUCUCAUUAUUCCCUAUUCUAGCAAAACCACCCAUCAGAGCCAUCGUUAACCAUUGGUCGUUAAAGCGGAUUCUUAAAAUACCUAUAUCUACAGCUGUGGCAAUAGGCGCGUGAUUUGGUAAUACGCCGAUUUGUCCACUAUUAGUAGAUAAAAUGAUUUCUUUCACUUCUGAAUCCCAAACAAUUCGAUUAGGGGUCAGUACACAAAGAUUUAAGGUCAUUUCUUCAAAUUACUCUCCAUUUCUAAGUUUGUAGCCUUCGCAGUAACUUCAUCUAUGUUACCUACCAAAUAAAAGGCCUGCUCAGGAAGACCAUCUAAUUCUCCGGACAGGAUCAAUUUAAACCCUCUAAUAGUUUCGGCUAGACCAACAUAUUUCCCCGGGGAACCGGUAAAUACUUCGGCUACGAAAAAGGGUUGUGAUAAGAAACGCUCAAUUUUUCGCGCCCUUGCUACAGUUAAACGAUCCUCUUCGGACAGUUCGUCCAACCCAAGGAUAGCUAUAAUGUCCUGAAGUUCUUUGUAACGUUGUAAAGUUUGCUUAACUCUUUGCGCCGUUUCAUAAUGUUCCUCGCCAACGAUCCGAGGUUGCAGCAUAGUUGACGUUGAGUCUAAAGGAUCAACUGCUGGAUAGAUACCUUUAGCAGCUAAUCCUCUUGAUAGUACGGUAGUAGCAUCUAAAUGGGCAAAUGUCGUGGCAGGAGCGGGAUCAGUCAAAUCAUCCGCGGGUACAUAAACUGCUUGAAUAGAAGUUAUGGACCCCUCUUUGGUAGAAGUAAUUCUUUCUUGUAAAGAACCCAUUUCGGUACUAAGGGUAGGUUGAUAACCCACAGCGGAAGGCAUUCUACCCAAUAAGGCGGAUACCUCGGAUCCCGCUUGGACGAAACGGAAGAUAUUGUCGAUAAAUAGAAGUACGUCUUGUUCAUUAACAUCUCGGAAAUAUUCCGCCAUAGUUAGGGCCGUCAAACCAACUCUCAUACGAGCUCCUGGUGGUUCAUUCAUCUGACCGUAGACUAGAGCCACUUUUGAUUCCGAAAGAUUUUGGUCAUUAAUUACUCCAGACUCUUUCAUUUCCAUGUAAAGAUCAUUUCCUUCACGAGUACGUUCACCGACUCCGCCAAAUACGGAUACACCCCCAUGGGCUUUGGCAAUGUUGUUGAUCAAUUCCAUAAUGAGUACUGUUUUACCCACCCCAGCUCCCCCAAAUAGUCCGAUUUUUCCUCCCCGACGAUAAGGAGCUAAAAGAUCUACUACUUUAAUUCCUGUUUCAAAAAUAGAUAAUCUUGUAUCUAACUGUAUAAAAGCAGGCGCGGAUUUAUGAAUAGGGGAUGUUGUGCGAGUAUCUACAGGACCUAAAUUAUCAACGGCUCUCCAAGCACGUUGAAAAUUCGUCCUAGAGUCACUCCGCCGACUGGAACACUUAGAGGAGCUCCCGUGUCAAUUACUUCCAUACCCUCGUUAGACCAUCUGUAGCACUCAUGGCUACAGCUCUAACUCGAUUAUUCCCUAAUAAUUGCUGUACCUCGCAAGUCACAUUAAUUGGUUGAUCGACAGUAUCUCGACCCUUAACUACCAGAGCAUUGUAAAUAUUAGGCAUCUUGCGGGGGGAAAGGCUACAUCCAGUACCGGACCAAUGAUUUGAGCGAUAUGUCCUAGGUUUUUGUUUGCAAACGCGGAAACCCCAGGACCGGAAGUAGUAGGAUUUAUUCUCAUAAUAAUAAAGUGAAAGAUGUCAAUUUUUUUUUUUUUCGAACUUGAUCGCAUCCAAAAAAAUCUUCGAUAGCACGUGGAUCGGUUAAUUCAAUAAGAAAUGGGAGUUCGCGCUCGAUUUCGUUGGUACCGUCCAACCGAAUGCAAUUCAAUAGUUUCCUUAUGCUUAUGCAUUUAUGCAAUUUCAAUGAGGGAAUUUUCAAGUUCAACCAACCGACUUUCAAAAUAUCAAGUGGUGAAAAAAAAUCUUGAGAAAGUCGUUCAUUAUAUCUAUCAUUAUAGACAAUACCCGCCAUAUUAUCUAUGAGUUCGAACCUGAACUCUUUUUUCGAUUCAUUAUUUCUAUCUCAUUGGACCUUAUUUCUUAUUUUAGCAUAUCGACUUAUGCCUAGUCUAUUCUUUUUUUGGAUAUAUAUACCUGCUUUUUGAUAUAUAUACCCUGCCUUUCUUUACUGGAUGAAUUACGCAUAUUUUCUUUGCACAUAUAGGAUUUACGUAUACAACACUAUUACUGUCAAGUAUUUUUAUGAUUUGAUGUUGAAAAAUAAGGUUAAACUAACAUGAUUAUAAGAAAAUUAUCGUAUUGAACAAAAAGGUCAAGGACUCGAUAUAAAUUAGAUUAAUGAAAACCCAAGGGAAUUUCACAACAUUAUGCAAAUAGAUAUAACAACCUACAUGAAUGCGUAUCUUGUUUGAAUUUUCAAGAACCAUGGUAUAUGAUUAACAAAGAAACAUCAUUAUUGAUAUAAUCUUAUCGAAUAGUUGGAAAGAUCCAAAAUGGGCUUUCAUUAAGUUUUCAUAAUCAUUAGACCUUGUUUCAUCGAAAUAUCUAAAUCAUAAGAAAAUUAGAUCACCAAAACAGAAUAAAAUUGUGGUAUACGUAAAUCCAUAUGUGCAAAGAAAAAUAUGCGUAAUUCAUCCAGUAAAGAAAGGCAGGUAUAUAUAUCAAAAAGCAGGGUAUAUAUAUCCAAAAAAAGAAUAGACUAGGCAUAAGUCGAUAUGCUAAAAUAAGAAAAUAAGGUCCAAUGAGAUAGAAAUAAUGAAUCGAAAAAGAGAGUUCAGGUUCGAACUCCAUAGAUAAAUGGCGGGUAUUGUCUAUAAUGAUAGAUAUAAUGAACGACUUUCUCAAGAUUUUUAUUCACCCACUUGAUAUUUUGAAAGUCGGUUGGUUGAACUUGAAAAUUCCCUCAUUGAAAUUGCAUAAAUGCAUAAGCAUAAGGAAACUAUUGAAUUGCAUUCGGUUGGACGGUACCAACGAAAUCGAGCGCGAACUCCCAUUUCUUAUUGAAUUAACCGAUCCACGUGCUAUCGAAGAUUUUUUUGGAUGCGAUCAAGUUCGAAAAAAAAAAAAAUUGACAUCUUUCACUUUAUUAUUAUGAGAAUAAAUCCUACUACUUCCGGUCCUGGGGUUUCCGCGUUUGCAAACAAAAACCUAGGACAUAUCGCUCAAAUCAUUGGUCCGGUACUGGAUGUAGCCUUUCCCCCCGGCAAGAUGCCUAAUAUUUACAAUGCUCUGGUAGUUAAGGGUCGAGAUACUGUCGAUCAACCAAUUAAUGUGACUUGCGAGGUACAGCAAUUAUUAGGGAAUAAUCGAGUUAGAGCUGUAGCCAUGAGUGCUACAGAUGGUCUAACGAGGGGUAUGGAAGUAAUUGACACGGGAGCUCCUCUAAGUGUUCCAGUCGGCGGAGUGACUCUAGGACGAAUUUUCAACGUGCUUGGAGAGCCCGUUGAUAAUUUAGGUCCUGUAGAUACUCGCACAACAUCCCCUAUUCAUAAAUCCGCGCCUGCUUUUAUACAGUUAGAUACAAGAUUAUCUAUUUUUGAAACAGGAAUUAAAGUAGUAGAUCUUUUAGCUCCUUAUCGUCGGGGAGGAAAAAUCGGACUAUUUGGGGGAGCUGGGGUGGGUAAAACAGUACUCAUUAUGGAAUUGAUCAACAACAUUGCCAAAGCCCAUGGGGUGUAUCCGUAUUUGGCGGAGUCGGUGAACGUACUCGUGAAGGAAAUGAUCUUUACAUGGAAAUGAAAGAGUCUGGAGUAAUUAAUGACCAAAAUCUUUCGGAAUCAAAAGUGGCUCUAGUCUACGGUCAGAUGAAUGAACCACCAGGAGCUCGUAUGAGAGUUGGUUUGACGGCCCUAACUAUGGCGGAAUAUUUCCGAGAUGUUAAUGAACAAGACGUACUUCUAUUUAUCGACAAUAUCUUCCGUUUCGUCCAAGCGGGAUCCGAGGUAUCCGCCUUAUUGGGUAGAAUGCCUUCCGCUGUGGGUUAUCAACCUACCCUUAGUACCGAAAUGGGUUCUUUACAAGAAAGAAUUACUUCUACCAAAGAGGGGUCCAUAACUUCUAUUCAAGCAGUUUAUGUACCCGCGGAUGAUUUGACUGAUCCCGCUCCUGCCACGACAUUUGCCCAUUUAGAUGCUACUACCGUACUAUCAAGAGGAUUAGCUGCUAAAGGUAUCUAUCCAGCAGUUGAUCCUUUAGACUCAACGUCAACUAUGCUGCAACCUCGGAUCGUUGGCGAGGAACAUUAUGAAACGGCGCAAAGAGUUAAGCAAACUUUACAACGUUACAAAGAACUUCAGGACAUUAUAGCUAUCCUUGGGUUGGACGAACUGUCCGAAGAGGAUCGUUUAACUGUAGCAAGGGCGCGAAAAAUUGAGCGUUUCUUAUCACAACCCUUUUUCGUAGCCGAAGUAUUUACCGGUUCCCCGGGAAAUAUGUUGGUCUAGCCGAAACUAUUAGAGGGUUUAAAUUGAUCCUGUCCGGAGAAUUAGAUGGUCUUCCUGAGCAGGCCUUUUAUUUGGUAGGUAACAUAGAUGAAGUUACUGCGAAGGCUACAAACUUAGAAAUGGAGAGUAAUUUGAAGAAAUGACCUUAAAUCUUUGUGUACUGACCCCUAAUCGAAUUGUUUGGGAUUCAGAAGUGAAAGAAAUCAUUUUAUCUACUAAUAGUGGACAAAUCGGCGUAUUACCAAAUCACGCGCCUAUUGCCACAGCUGUAGAUAUAGGUAUUUUAAGAAUCCGCUUUAACGACCAAUGGUUAACGAUGGCUCUGAUGGGUGGUUUUGCUAGAAUAGGGAAUAAUGAGAUCACUAUUUUAGUAAAUGAUGCGGAGAAGAGUAGUGACAUUGAUCCCCAAGAAGCCCAGCAAACUCUUGAAAUAGCAGAAGCUAAUUUGAGGAAAGCUGAAAGCAAGAGACAAACAAUUGAGGCAAAUCUAGCUCUCAGACGAGCUAGGACACGAGUAGAGGUUAUCAAUGCGAUUUCAUAACUAGUUGGUGCGCCCGAAUAGAAUAAUCCAACGAAUUUCUGUUUAUACCCCUAUUUUGAUUCUGCCAAUUGAAUCCAAUUAAAUUCAAUCAAGUGGAAUUGGAUUCUGACGGAAGGAAAAAGGUUUCAAUUCGAAAAUCAAAUUGAAUCGGAUAGAAAAGAUACAAAAUCAAUAAACAAAGGUGAGUAGAAAAACUUAUUAGAUACCAUUGGCCGUGGUAUCUAAUAAUUUCUACCUACUAUUGGAUUUGAACCAAUGACUCCCGCCGUAUGAAAGCAAUACUCUAACCACUGAGUUAAGUAGGUCAUUUAUCAUUAUAACAAAAAACAAAAAGAGACCCAUCACAUCCCAUCGAUGGAGUAUAAAUCUAAUAGGACUUCUAAGCAAUACCAAUCCAAAAGAUCAAAGAGAUAUGGUGUGGGAUCAUGGAAUAUUCAUCUUGACAAGAAAUUAUCUACAUAAUAUGAUAAAAUAUGUAUCACAAGGACAAGGGCUAUAGCUCAGUUAGGUAGAGCACCUCGUUUACACGUGCGCCAAUGUUUUUCAGAGGAGUCCAUCAUGCAAUCAAAAGAAUUGAUCUUUUUGAGAAAUUAAUGUCUGACUCCGUGGCUUGUAGGGAACAAAACAAGAGAACAAUAGCCUGACAAAUGGAUCGGUCCGAUUCGGGUGCCCUUUUAGGAACCAAAUAGAAUCCAUCAUCGAUUUGAGAGAUUGAUAAGGUAAAUACCUAGUCUAUUCAAUGCUAGGCAUAAUGAGUAUAAGGACCUCAAAAAUUCUCUUUUCGUUCUAUGAACCUUAAGGCGUAUGAAGUUUCAUAUGUGAUUCUUUAAUCAGGAUGAUAGAGACUCCAUUUCGUUUAGGUUGAUCUAGGCCAUAAGCAGACCUACGUCAAGAUAACCCUUCUUUGAAACACUUUGGGAGUGCUCCUAUAUCCGAAUCCAAAUAAUGAAUUAGAGCACAUGGAGCCAUUUCCUUAGUUGUCUGUCAAGAAAAAAAUAUGGUAGACUAACUGAUAUUUCUAUCAGUUAAUGAAAGAGCCCAAUGCAAAAAAAAAAAAAUGCAUGUUGGGUCUUUGAAAGAGUUCGAAUCAUUUUGAUAAGAAUUAGUUCGAUCUGUUUUACCGAGAAGGUCUACGGUUCGAGUCCGUAUAGCCCUAUACUAAUCUCAAAUAAUAAUAAUCAAAAUGGAAAUACAGAAACACAAAAAUUGUAUAGUUUUCAUUUCCUCAUUCAUUGUAUUUUUGUUGUUUGUAACUGGUCGCUGGGGGUUGCUUGUGGUUCAUCGAAAUCAAAUCAUUCCCAAAAGCUCGCUCGGAGGGAGCUCGUUCCGAGCAGAACAUCAAACUGAAAUGAAAACUAAAGCGCAUUUCAAUGGAUUUAAUCGCUAUUUUUUUUUUAGAAUCUCGGAUUCGGCUAAACAAACCCAUUUUUCUUUCUUCAAUAAUUAAUAAUAAUAAUCUUCGUAUGGGAAUUCCAUAUGGAUUUGCCUCUUUUCCUGUUCCCAUCACAAUCAAAGAGUUAUUGAUACUUCCUUUCUUUGGUAUACUCACCUACUUUUGGUGAAUUUGCGGAGUCAAAAUCAUGACACGAAUCCGGGGAGACGCCGACGUAACCCAACUCAAAUGGAAUAGUAAGUCGCAUGGAUAUAGGAACGGAUUACGGUAUUUGUUGACACCUCAGCGUUUGAAAAACGAAUAGCUUUUCAUAAACAUAAUUCAGAAACAGAAAAUAUUCUAUAUAUUGAGAAUAGAAUCAAAAUCGAUUGAAUUUCGAAGAUUCGAAUUCGAAAUUCGAAACAAAAAUUCGAAUUUUCUUUUGACUUCCUUUGAUUUAGACAAGUCCGAAGCGCGGUGAACGCAAAAGGGUUUUGUUUGUUUUGUUUGUAUAAGAGAUUUAUACUAUAUUGAAAUAAAAUCGAAGGAAGUGUAAUGAAAAUAGGAUUCCAAUCGAUAAAUCUUAAAACGAGACAUCACAACAAACAAACGAAACUUUGCGGUUCGAUCAAAAUGAAUUGUUGUUUUGAUUAACCAAU